AGAUAACUUGACAUGUUUAAUAUUGUACACCACACACAGUCCACAUGGACUAUAUUUCCGAGAUGACCACUUUUUCCCCCUCUCUCAGCCAGCGAAACAAGUGUAGGCUAUGUUGCUAAACGCGCUGAGCACAAGUCUACAGGAACUGCACCGUCAGAGCACAGAGAGAGAGAGAGAGCAGUGACGGAGUGAGCUGCACACGAAUGUGCUCAGUGCUGCUAUCAGCCGAUAGAAGCUUGACAGGCGACCAGAGGGGGACACAGAUACUGAUAGAGGGGGAGAGAGACUCUCUUCCGACGUCGGUGCUGGAACGGAUGAGCGCGACAUUCGUCCACUAACCGGUUACGGUAUAUUCCACGGCGGCAGACACUACAGAUAUCCAAUGCUGGUGGAAUUUAGCUGACCAUAGUUGGACACGCAACAUUCACUGUUGGUGCCAUGAUCCCUCGUAGUAUGCGAACAGGUGGGAUGGCCCUGCCAGGGGUGGAGUCAAGGGAUGUACCCCUCAUUGGCUACCGGCCUUUAGCGCCUGACGAUGUUCCCCUCAGCAGCCAAUCAGGGCAAGUGACUGACUGUACUGGACUGGACUCCUCUGAGGGGGAGACUUCCCCCAUGAAGACAACUUGGUACUGUCCUCUGGACUUGUCUACUGUGUUGGAGGAGGAAGAGGACGGAGUGAUAUACAAUGUAGUGGUGAAGCAACAGCGUAGCGCCCCCACCAGUGCAACAUCCAGCUCUCGUUCACAGUGUGUGAAGGCGGGAACAGAGGAGAAGCUGGUUCAGCACCUCCUCCACUCCUUCGCCAUGGGAGACUCCUCCUUCAUCACCAUCUUCCUUGCCACCUAUCGCUCCUUUACCUCAACUAAGAGAGUGCUGGAUAUCCUCAUCGACAGAUUGCAACAUCCACCAGGAGAAAGUACAAAGAGUCAGAUUAGGCAACCCUUCAACAGAGCGGUGUGUAUGGUGUUCAGUAUGUGGUUGUCGGAGUAUCCUGAGGACUUCCGCUUUCUGGGAGAGCCUGGUCUUCUGCUCCGCCUGGCCCCCCUGCUGCCCUCCGACCCCUCUGGGACAGAGAUCAGGGGUCGCCUCCUCAGACUGGCACAGGAGCUCAGUGAACAGGCCCUACUGCCUGACUCUAGUUCAGAUAGGACCACCCCCAGCCCUGCUGACCACACUAAGUUUGAUCCCACCAAUAUCCUGGGCUUCCCCGCUGGGCUGAUUGCUGAGCAGCUCACCAAGAUAGAAACGGAACUGUUUGUGCGUCUGGUCCCGUACCACUGCCUGGGCUCCUUGUGGUCUCAGAGAGACAAGAAGGGCCGCGAGGGUGUAUGUUGGUCCGUCCGGGCCACUGUACGCCAGUUCAACCGGCUGGCCAAUGCUGUAAUGGCUUCGUGCCUGUGGCCCACGCAGCUCCGCAGCCAGCAGAGAGCCUGCCUUCUGGAGAAAUGGAUCAGCGUGGCAGAGGAAUGCAGAGCCAGGAAAAACUUUUCGUCUCUCUACGCCAUCGUGUCUGCCCUGCAGAGUAACCCAGUACACAGACUAAGGAGGACGUGGCUAGAAACUGACAGGGAAGCAGUGAGGAGGUACGAGGAGCUGUCCAACAUUUUCUCUGAGAAGGACAACUACUCCCAGAGCAGGGAGCUGCUGAAAGAGGAGGGUACUUCGAAGUUCGCCAACCUGGACGGCAAGAUGAACAACAGGAGACAGAUAGGAUCCAGUGCCCAGGGCACAGUACCCUACCUGGGGAUCUUCCUCACAGACCUCACCAUGCUGGACACGGCCGUCAAAGACAGACUGGAGAACGGCUACGUCAACUUUGACAAGAGGAGACGAGAGUUUGAGGUUUUAGCUCAGAUCCGACUACUGCAGUCCUCCUGUAAAAACAGUGUUUUCCUCACCGACGAGGCAUUCCUACAGUGGUACCAAAGCGUACCCUCGUUAAAUGAAGAAGAAAGUUACAGACUGUCCAAUGAAAUUGAGGUGCCGUGCGAACCGAGCUCUGGUCGUACCCUGAACCCUACAGUGAUCAUCACACGGUGCCCAAACCUGAAUUCCUCCAGGACCAGCCUUGUUGCUGACAGUGACGGUCUUUUUUACUUCCCCUCCCCCGUCUGCCACUUUCUUUCCAAAUUCACUAAGUUUCCUGUCUGGAUGUUGACUCCUCCCAUCCCACCAAUGACCCCAUCCCGUCUGCAUUGACACCAUCCACUCCCGUCAAAUCACAUCGUCGAUCAGUCUCCUGUGGCAACAAUCCCACCAAUAACAACAAAGGGUCUGGGCCUGAUAUGCGGAUCGUCAGGAUACGGAUGGAUUUACAAGAUGGGAAUAUGUACAGAAGCAUACUGGUGACAAACAAUGACAAGACACCCACUGUGAUCAGUUCUGCCUUAGAUAAACACAGUCAGGACCCCAAACAGGCAUCCAGAUAUGAGCUCAUCCAACUAUUGCCCGAGGGAAAGGAGUUGGUCAUCCCUGCCACAGGAAACGUCUUCUAUGCCAUGACUUCCUCUAGUGUGGACUUCCUGCUGCGCAGACAAGGAGGCAACACCCCUUUUCGCUCUCAACCAAUCAGCACAGAAACCAGUGCUACCUUUCCUCGAAUCAAAGCCAAGGGGCGGAGACUGUUUUUUUGACAACAACUCUUUCCCAAAUAGGCUACAUCUGAGACAUAAUGUAGCUAGUUCUCAAGGACAGGUCACGAUAAGAAUGCAGGCAGAUAUCUCAGUGAGAUGUGGCCUUGUCUUUCCUAAUCUUUUUCCGAAGUGGAAACACAUUCUGACCGAGCUUGUUCAAGCGAAAUGUAUCCUGAAACCUGUCUGAACUUGUUUGAUGAACGUGUUCUUACCUGGGACAUUUCAAUAAAUAUGCUGCCCAUUUGUGUAUACCAGGGAGGCCAUUAGUGUAGAAGGGUGCAUGUCUCUGGUUGGCAAUGCAUACUACUGCAAAUAUACACCGAGAACAAGACCAAUGCAAAUCUUUAACUGAUGGUGAAUGGUGCUGUUUCUUAAGUCUCUCUGACCAUUGGCAUCUAAUUUCCUAUUUAACCAAAUGGAAUGGCCUUGUAACCAAGAGCAACUGAGGAAUCCAAAUCAUCUUGCGUAUUUGAGGAAUGUGCCUCAGGUUCCAUCAUAGAGAUGAGUUGAUAGUAGAGAACUUCAUUAAAUCAAAGUAUUUGGGGGAUAUGACCUCCUUGAAUUGACCAUGACAACAAAGUUUAACAUUUCUCCAGAGAGAGUGGAUACAAACGGCAUGAUGACAUAUUACGUAUGCAAGGCGUUUCAAGAAUUUGAAUGGUGGGGAGAGCACUGGGCUGACAUUAUGACAUAAUGCAUCUGAAUAAGUGACAGAGUCACUGAAACCUCUCAUUAUAGCAAAGCACAGGGGCUCAUCAAAAUGUUUUAACUAUGUACUUUGUAUGUAUACAUAUGACGAUGUCAUGAUUGUGUUUACAUUCACAAGGAGCAAUCAACAAGUGUCAGAAUGACAUGUUAUUCAUUUUGAAGUAACAGGAAAUAUAUUAAAUUGCCCCAAAUUGCAACCAUUUCAAAUGAGCACAACACGUUACAAAGAUAAACAUGAUCAUUUGGGCUUUCUGCAUACAUAUUGAAUGAUAGUUCUGGUAGUAUCUUGUGUAAAAUACAACACAUUUACAUAUACAGCCUUGCCACUCCCAUACAGAAGUCAUAUUUUGAGUAUGAACCAUUAGGCAUAACAACCUCAACCCACAAACUCUUAACCUAAACAAUUCACGUGAAGACACUAAUGAAAGUCCAGACUAUGUUGUGCGUAUUGAAAAGAUGUCUACCAUUGCACCUGAAUGCUAAACUUUUCAAUACAGCAUAAGCUAAUCUUUAUUAAUGGUCUCUGAAUGGGUUUAGUUGGUAGUUGCAAUGGAAGUCUGUCUGAAGUGUACUUCAACCAGUGCACCCAAAGUCAGUCCUCAAAGACCCAUGCCAGGUUAGUGAGUUAUUCUCACCAAUCACUGAAUUAUGUUUAAUUGAUAUCUUCUCUGACGUUUGAUAGAGAUCUGACAGCUAUUAAGGUUUCAUUAUGCAAUGUCUUUAGUCCAGGAACUGAAUGUAGAGGGUUUUGCAGAAGGCUCUGCUUCUCUCCAAUGAGGAUGAGACCAGUAGGAAGGAAAACCUGUAUGCAUAAGGGCGCAUGGGGAACAGAUUGUGGAAGGCCCUAACUGAUGAACUCUUGUGAACUCUGGCCACACUACCCAGUGCUGUUGAAGUCUCUACUAAGGCUGAAGCAUAGACACGGUAGUUCCAGGGAGAGGAGAGAGGAUUCUGGGUAACGUAAUUUGAUGAAGUCUUAGCGCCAGGCUAAGCUACUGAUUGUUUAGUGCCUUUCUCUCAUUGGUGCUUGACCUACUUAGUGUCCCAAAUGGCACCCUAUUCCCUAAUAGAGUGUUACCUUUCACCAGAGCCCAUGUCAAAAGUAGUGCGCUUAAUAGGGUGCCAUUUGACAUGAAGCAUCUGUGAUGUAUGCAUUGGAAUGUACAUAUGAUGUACAUUCACAGUGCUGUAUAUGCUGGCAUGUUUAUGCACUACAUACGCCCUAUUUGUUUUUGUGUGAUACAUUUCCUUUUUCUAUGGAUGCAUUUUGAUGCGACGGUAAUAUGAGGAAUUUCUAUGCAACUCCCCGGAUGUGUGCCGUAAUUCUGCCGUGUCUAUUCUUACCAAAUAAAAUGUACACAGAUGUACAUCUAAAAGAUUCAGACUGUGUUUUAGUAUCUAGCUUGUUGGUGGAUGAGGAAGUUUAAUGAAGAACAUUAUGCAAAAUAUUUGUGCAGAAGACAGUAUCUUUGCCUGUUUCAAGCUGAACGCUGAAAAGGUCA